CAUUUAUAAGAGACGGACGUGUCUAAAGGAAAACACUUACUAGAAAUCGGUCAUUUAACCGUUUGCUUAAAUCGAUGAAUUCGGAUUAAUUUAUGAAAUGUUUAGACGUUUAGUCUCGGGAGAUGUAUUUAUUCUACAGCGGAGACUUUCUCAGUCGUUGAAAUGUCUGAGAUUACUGUCGUGCAACUCCGUUAUCGGUUCCGACCGUGGACAGGACCUGUCGAGAGAGGAGCGAACUGUUCCGACCGAACGGGUUCCUUCCCGACCCGAGAAACAGAAGCGGGUGUGUAAAGUCAUAUUGGACCGUUUUGACCAACAGUACGGCCAGGAACUUGGCCCCCUAUGGCCGUCUGCAAGGUAUGUCAGCGUUCACCUCGUCCUCUUAAUCGUUUUUCUACAGUAUUACGUGUCAAUUACAAUAUUAUAAAUCGUUUUAUUACUCUGAACUUAAAUCGGAUGAGAACUCUGUUUCCUAAAUGGCACCGUAUUCCCUAUAGGUCCUGGUCUAACGUUGUGCGCUAUACCUUUAUUUAACUAGUCAGUUAAGAACAAAUUCUUAUUUUCAAUGACGGCCUAGGAACAGUGGGUUAACUGUCUUGUUCAGGGGCAGAACGACAGAUGUGUACCUUGUCAGCUCG
rnacentral:lncRNA from 1 species